rnacentral:rRNA from 1 species
AAAAAUUAAUAGGUUUCGUUUGUAACAGCGGAGGGAUCAUUACAGGGUCUUUUACAAGCCCAAAAACGCACCAGUGCACCUCUUACGGAGAACUCGAGACUCGGCCGCGGCGAGGCAGCCCGCUGGAGGGGCCCCGGGCCGCAAGGCCGGCCCGCCGACGGACCGAGCAAGCUGAAGCUGCCGCGCCCCGCGAGACGCUGAAAGCAAAGCCCCCGCCUGCGGGCGGGCAGGGCAAAAGCCAAUUACAACCCAUAGCAAUUGGAUCUCUUGGCUCCGGCAUCGAUGAAGAACGCAGCGAAAUGCGAUACGUACUACGAAUUGCAGCUCCCGCGAGUCAUCGAAUUCUUUGAACGCAUAUUGCGCCGCGUGGUAUUUCCGCGCGGCACGUCCGACCGAGCGCCGCUGCAACGCUCGCAGGCCUCCCAGCAGUGGGAGGGCCGGCGGUGCUGGGGGGACCGGGGCGACCCGGCCCCCCCGAAACUCAGCGGCGGCCGAAGCGGCGAGCCCGGCGUAGUAGACAAAACCUCGCCUGGGGGACCCGCAGCGGCCGGCCACGAAAGGGCGCUGCCCGAACGGACCUAAGAGUUGGCCUCGGGUCGGACGAGGUUACCCGCUGAACUUAAGCAUAUCAAUAAGCGGAGGAAAAGAAACCAACAGGGAUUGCCUCAGUAACGGCGAGUGAAGCGGCAACAGCCCAGAUUUGAAAUCCGGCCCCAGGCCCGAGUUGUAAUCUGCAGAUGGCUCUUCCGGCAAGGCGCGCGCCCGAGUUCCCUGGAAUGGGACGCCUUAGAGGGUGAGAGCCCCGUACAGGCGCGGCGCCGAGCCACCACGAUGGCCAUUCGACGAGUCGAGUAGUUUGGAAAUGCUGCUCUAAUCGCGGGGGUAAAUCUCCCGUAAGGCUAAAUACCGGCCGGAGACCGAUAGCGAAACAAGUAGCGUGAGCGAAAAGAUGAAAAGAGCCUUGGAUAAGGGCGUCAAAAAGCAUGUGAAAUUGCUAUGGGGGAAGCGCUCGUCGCCAGACGCGGCGGCGGCUGGUUACCCGGCGUUCUCGCCGGCGCACUCAGACCGCCGCCGGGCCAGUACCGGCUGGCCGCGCGGCAUACUGCCGCGGGGAACGUGCCUCCUUCCGGGGAGGGUUAUAGCCCCGCGGAGACGCCGCGUGGCCGGCCGAGGACCGCGCUAAGCAGGUACUGCUAGCGGCCCACAACUUUUUUAAAACGAAAAAA